rnacentral:rRNA from 1 species
AACGAACGCUGGCGGCAUGCCUAACACAUGCAAGUCGAACGAGACCUUCGGGUCUAGUGGCGCACGGGUGCGUAACGCGUGGGAACCUGCCCUUAGGUUCGGCAUAACUCCCCGAAAGGGGUGCUAAUACCGGAUAAUGUCUUCGGACCAAAGAUUUAGUGCCUUUGGAUGGGCUCGCGUUGGAUUAGCUAGUUGGUAGGGUAAAAGCCUACCAAGGCGACGAGCCAUAGCUGGUCUGAGAGGAUGAUCAGCCACACUGGGACUGAGAAACGGCCCAGACUCUUACGGGAGGCAGCAGUGGGGAAUAUUGGACAAUGGGCGGAAGCCUGAUCCAGCAAUGCCGCGUGAGUGAUGAAGGCCUUAGGGUUGUAAAGCUCUUUUACCCGGGAUGAUAAUGACAGUACCGGGAGAAUAAGCUCCGGCUAACUCCGUG